AUCUAGUACAAUAUAUAUAAAUUAGGGGCAAUAGCUUAUAUAUCCUUUUAGGCUCCAUUUGGAUCGAAAAUUAGUAGGAACUAGUUAUAUCGGGGAUAGGUACAAGUAUGGAUUUUUGUAGGAAUAAGGAUAUUUUUUUGUUUGGAUGAAAUUGUGAGUAUAAGCUGGAACUAAAAAAAUUAUGUUUGGAUAGUUUUUGGGAAUAAGAGGAAUAGUUGGUCGUUAUAAAUAGAAAUUAAACUUAAAUUAAAAUUAUAAACUUAUAAUUUUAAACUUAUAAUUUUAAAAUUUAAAAUUUAAAAUUUUAAACUUAUAAUUUUAAUUUUAUCCCUAUAAUUUUAAACUUAUAAUUUUAAAUUUAAAAUUUUAACUUAUAAAUUUAAAUUAGAAAUUAAAAUUUUAAAUUUUAAUAUUAAAAAUUUUAAUUUUAAAUAUCAAAUUUUAAAUUUCAGACCAAAUUUAAAUUUCAAAGAUAUAAAAUAACAAAUUUAAAAUUUGAAAACUAAAAAUAUCAAAUUUAAAAUUUAAAAUUUAAAAAUAUCAAAUUUAAAAUUUAAACUUUAAUUAAAUUUAAAAUUUUAAUUUAUUAAUUAUAUUUAUAAAAUUAUAAAUUUUAAUAAAUUUAAAAUAAAAAUCUCUCUCUCUCUCUCUCUCUCUCUCUCUCUCUCUCUCUCUCUCUCUCUCUCAUUCCCCCCUUUAUACCCGAGCCAAACGGAGUGUUAAAAAGUUUCUAACUUUCUUAUUUAUCCCUCUUAGAAGGUUAAUAUUGAAAAUACCUUUUUUACGUUAUAUCUUAUUUCUAAUAUACCCCUAGAAUUAAAAUCUGUUAAUGAACUCUAUUAUCUCUAUGAAAUUACUAUUUUACCCUUUCAAAUAUACCCUUCUACCAUCACCGACUUUUCUUAUUUGCCUUUUAAGUUAGGGGUACAAAAUGUAUUUUGUUUUUUAGUCUUUUCAAAUAUACCCUUUUACCAUUAUCAAUAUUUCUUAUUUGCCCUUAAGUUAAGGACAAAAGUGGUAUUUUAAAUUUUUUUAAACUGUCGUACAUAUUUAACUCACGUUUAACCAAAGUUAACUUAACUGGUGGUAACUGCAGGGGUAUUUUGGAAUAACGGAGAAAUAUAUGAGGGAUAUAUUCGAAAGAAAAAAAAAAGGGGCAAAUAAGAUAUUUUUAAAGUUUUGAGGGUAUAUAGGCAAUUAUCCCUAUAAAUUAUAAUGUCUCUUCUUUUGCUUUUAUGUUUUGUGUUGAAACAAAGUGUAAAAUUUUUAAAAUGAUGAUACCUUGUACUCAAUUAUUUUUUAUAAACUUACUAAGGGGCCGUUUGGUUAGAUGUAAUUAUAAAUACAGUAUUGUUAGAGAUGCAUGCAGUUGGAAAUACAGCAGUUACAACUAUAUGAAUCCUGUUUGGUUGGAUGUAGUAGAAAUCACUACAAGUAUAAAUAAUUUAUUUGGUUGCAUGCAGUUGAAAAAUAAUUUUUAAAAUUUUAUAAUUUUAUAUAUAUGAUGGUGAGAUUACCUUCAAUGUAAAAAAAAAAAUAAUUUUUUUUAAAAAAAUAUUGAGGAGGUAAGCAUACCUUUUAUAUAAAGUUACUCUCUCCAACUGCUGCAGUUGGAACUGCGUCCAAUUUGGGCGUAGUUCGAACUGCUGCAUUUGGGCCUCAUCCUGCAGUUCCUACUGCAGCAGUUGAAGCUAAAUAUAUCAAACCAAAUAUGAAAUUUGCAUUUACAUGCAGUUGCAACUGCAGUGCAGUUGCAACUACAUGCAACCAAGCAGCCCCUAAGUUGUAAAUUUAAAUUCAUUACCAAUUGUUACUUACUCUUAGUUUAUAUUUCCUUCCUGCAUGUGGCAUCUUUUUUUUUAAUUCUAAAAAUAUUUAUAUGUUUUAUAAAUUGUUUAAAUUUUUAAUAGUGAGUAAAUUCUGCACUGGACAUAUCCUAGUAUCAUAAACUUAUUAAUGCUUAAGGUUUCGAAGUAACUAAUAUUUUCCAAAAUAUCGCAUGACAGGUAUAUCCCAAAUUAUACAAUGAUACAAAGCUUCAUUUCUUCGCAGCUUGGAAUGUAAGGAUAAAAUUACUCUCUCCUAAUCCUUUGCAAUACUCAAAAGUAUAAAUAUUUUAUAUUUUUUAACUGUAGGUAGGCAAUGAUGAGUCGAUCGGUUGCUAUAAUCUCCGUUGUAAAGGCUUUGUACUGGUCAAUGCGCAUGUACUUACACCGGGUGAUGUGGUUGGCCCUGUCUCUAUUUAUAAUGGUCCGCAAUACUAUAUGACAAUCAGUAUAAAGAAGGUUAUGCUUUUUUUUUCACUAAGAUUUUUACUAUUUGAUUUUAUAAAUAGAAAAAUAGUAAAACAUAUUAUUUAUGAAACAUUGAAAUGCACUUCAACCCUUGAGGCUUUAUAAAGGCUUUAGUUUGGCCACCUCCUUUUAAAGUAAACUCAAAUGCUUUUGUAGCUUUUGUGUUGCCAUUUAGAAUGAGUUAUAUAGUCGAAAGAACUUAUAAUAACAUAUAUAUGUGCACCUACAAUUUGAUAUGAUUUUAACUUCUUUUUGUCAUGAAUCUCUUGAAUUAAAACUUCAUCCAUAGAAGUAAAAAAUAGAUAAUAAAAGACCAAGUUUAUCAUAUCUUAAUUUCUCUCACAUUCAUAGUAAUUUUCGAAAAGUACCUUACAAGCCAUUUGUAACAGCUAAAUUAACUAGAAUUUUACAAAAUAUUUACGUCACAAUAAUUUUGGAUGAAAAAGUACUAUGCCCUGUAAAAAGUACUAUCGUUUUAGAUCUCAAAAAUAUAUUUUUGUUGCAUAAUUUCACACAUAUUAUUUUGGUUGUUUUAAAUCUUUUUCUUAUUGGGUUGACUAUAUUUUACUGGUAAUGAUAGGAUAAUGUCCUUUUCUCAUCUUACUAUUUGUACAUGGUUUCAUGAUAGGAUUUUCAAACAGGAGACUGGUCUCUUUAUAGAGAAGAUUUAGGAAAUGCUCAAAUAAUAGGUUAUUGGCCGAAAUCUCUUUUUACAAAUUUAGAUAAGAGUGCAAGUAUUAUUGCAUGGGGUGGACAUGUUACCUACAAAAAGAAGGAAAGAGGCCCUCCAAUGGGAAGCGGGCAUUAUGCUAAUGAAUUGGAAGGAAAAGCAGCAUUUAUGAAAAAUCUUGAGAUUUUCGAUGAAAAAGGUGAAUCCCAUCAGCUUACAGAUGAUGGACAAUUUGCUAGAAUUGAUAAGGGAAAAUGUUACACAGUUACAGAAUUAGUUGAUUCAGGAAAGUACGGACUAAAAGAUGGGGUUUUAUUUUAUUUUGGUGGUCCUGGUGGUUGUUAUUAAGUGAUAACAUAAGUUUAUAUAUUCUUUCAAUAAGGUACUAAUAUAUUAAACUUAUGACUUGUCAGCAAGUAUAUAAUAAGUUUUUUCAUUUAUUUACAAUAUGAGAGGACCUGUACUUUAUUAUCUUUUCUUUCUAAAUCUUUGACCUCAAGAAUGAUAAUGUAACGAUCCGACUCGCUAGCAAUAAUAAUUCAUUGGGCCAAAAUCACCCACCCAAAAUGCUUCGGUCCAGUUCUUACUACUAGGGUGGAGUUCUCUUAUAUGCGCAAUGACAUACGUAUUGGGGUGUCACAAACUUCCCCGUACACACGACCCAAGAUCACUAAGCGAUGUGAGACUUUUCACGAGGCUAGCUUUUUCGCCUUGUGGCGCUCAAGUGUUGCAUACCUGAGCUAGCCUUCCCGAGUCCUUAGCAUGGACAGGUCUCCAAACUUAAUAGCAGAAUACCAAUUCAAGUAUUUUGCCAAGCUUGCUCCUCUGCGAGCCGUACAGCCGAAUCCCUCGUCGGACUCCAUAAGUUCCCAACAAGCAACCCCAAUACCGAGGUUAACCACCAAGCUAGGUGCAUCCCGUUUCGCCAAACAAACUCUCCUCUAGAGUGCUCCACAGCCGAAUGCCUCGUUGCCUUCACUUGUAUAGCCACAAGGAUAUUACAAGUUCUCCCCUAACUUAGACCAAUACGAGUAUAGCCGAGCGUCCUGCUCCCCACGUGUUUCGCUCCUACGACUUGACCCGCACAACGUUAGCGUCAAGGUCCAGACUUUGCAACAUCGCAUGCCACGAAGUGUCACAAGCCGAUCGCUGGGACUUAGCGGCCACAUUUGUUAGGGAAUUGCCUUCGUUGACUUGACGGUGACUCCUCGUUAGCCUUUGUCAUUCCGACCUAACUUAGCCUGUCAAAUCAUGUGAAAUUUUGAUAAAAUUUUUUUUAUACUAUAUUAAACAAGAUCAAUAUUUUUGAUCUAAAAUUUUAAUGUCAUAUCAUCACAUUUUGUAAGACUUUUAUUUUCAGCCGUUGAUUUUAGAUAUGACAUUAAAAUUUUAGAUACUUCAAAUACUCUAGAUCCAGUCUAAUAGAGCCAAUCGUCAAUUCGAAAGUCCUAUCAUCGAAAACAACUUGGAAGCAUGGAGGGUUUCGUGCUUCCAGAAGCAUACCACCCUCAUUCUAUAACUAAAUAUCUUAUUUUAGAAAACUAAUGUAUUGGACUUCCGGGUCGAGCUCGGGCCAGGCUUAGACAUGUCCAGAUAGGCUCAAAAUUUUUCGGGCUGAAAUUUUUAAAUCCGACCGGGAUCCAAAACUAUAAUUGUGGUACCUAAAGCCUGGCCCAUACAUAGCCCAUCAAGCAGGGCCUUGUUUAGGCUCGGGCAGUUCCACCUCUAAUUAUAUUACAUAAUUUUUUUUUAUAAAUAUUCAUUUUUUUGUUUUCUCUCUCUAACUUUUAAAAAUUUAUAAUUUAGCCCAGUGUUUUAUUAUUAUACCGAAAAUAUCCUUCAAAAUAAUAUAAAUAUAUUAAAAAAUAAUUUUUUAUAGAAGAAGUAAAGGUAAACUGGUUAUUUUGCCUCCUUCAUUAACAUCGUACCCUCUUAAAAAUAUUUUUUAAAUUUUAAAAAAAUAAAAUAUAAAAUUUUGAAACUUUAAAAGAAAAAGUAAAAAAAAAAAUAUUUACGAAAAUUUUUUUAUAAUUUGCAUAAAUUAUAAUAUAUAAAAUUUAAGGAUCAAAAUAUCUAUCUUUCCACAAUAAUUCUCACUAUUAUCACACUGGGGGGGUGGGGGAGAAGCAGUAGUGCGAAUAGAGAGAGAGAGAGAGAGAGAGAGAGAGGGAGAGGGUAGAGGGAGAUGGUGGCGAUGGGGGGGAAGGGUUUGGGGCGGCUCCUAGCGGCGCUUGCGGCGGCGCUCUUCCUCCGCGCCGUCGCCGGCCCCGGCCCCGCGCUUCCCCUGCCGGAGUACGCCGACGAGGACGCGGCGGAGCGCGGCGGCGCCGUCGCCGGAGACGACGAGGGGGAGGAGGGGGAGGAUGCGGUCGCCGGAGGAGGAGGGGCGGUGGCGCCGGUGACCAUCCGCUGGAGCGGCGUCACCUGCGCCCUCUCCGACAAGCGCGGGAAAACGGUGAGCUCGAUUGCGCACACUCAUGAUUUGAUGAGGCGAUGAUGAGAGGGAUUUAAUAAUUCUAAUCUACGAAACCCUAACAUUUUUUCUUUAAUUCAAUUCCCAUUACGGGGAGAUGCUUGUGCGCACGUUAGCAUUUGUAGGGUGGAUUUGCUAAAUUGUUCCGCUCUGUUUCCUGUUUAAUUAAUAAUAAAUGUUCCGGUAAAAAUGUAUGGUGACCCCCUCAACUAUAGGUGUUUCUGAAAUAGGCCCCUUAACUUCCUUUUCUUUUUUGGGGGGGUAAAAUUGAGUUUUUUUUAAUAGUUAAUUAACCUAAAAAACAUGUCAAAUUUCAUGCCUCAAUUAGUUAUCAGCAGUUAAUUUGUCUAGUUUUAUUUGCUAUAAAGUAAUUCAAACUAUUAAAUUUGAUGAAAUUAUCGAUUAAAUUUGGUAAAACUGCUAAUUUAUUUGGUUAAAUCACUUAAUUCUGAAAAAUUAAAAGUUUGAGGGGGCAUCAAUAAAAUAUAUAUAUAUAGUUGAGAUGGCUAUUUCAGAGUGAACUAUAGUGAAGGGGGUCUCCAUACAUUUUUACCUAGAUUUUUCCUGCUUAAAUGUGGAACCUGUAAUUAUGUCAUGUAAUUAGUUAAAUUACUAGUAGUGUAUCAUACAUGACCCAUAGAAUAAGUACUUCACCAUUUAGUUUCUGGUUGUUUUCAGUUCCUUUUCUUAGUUAUUAUUAUUAUUAUUUACUGUUAUCAAUAGUUGGUAUGACACUAAUGCAAAAUGCUUAGUAAUAGAAAAUUUUAGGAUGUUAUAGUAAAUUUUACUUAUAUCUUUGAUGCAUGUAGUCCCUGCAUUGAUUUCAUUUAAAAAAAUAUCAACUUUAAUGCCUUGAAUAUCUUAUAUAAUACUCUAGAUAUCUUUUCAAUUUAUUCUGUGUUGUUAGAUGAGAUUUUUGCUGUCGAAUGUAAGUGGAGAGGCGAAACCAGGAAGAUUACUAGCAAUCAUGGGCCCUUCGGGGUCGGGGAAGACAACUUUGCUUAAUGUGCUAGCUGGACAGCUUGCGGCAUCACCUCGCUUGCAUCUUUCCGGGUAUUUGGAAGUUAAUGGGAGGCCGAUGUCGCGAGGUGGUUACAAGUAAGCUCUGCUCAUGUGUUUGUCAGGUGUCAAUGUGUGACCAAAACUUUGCCUUCCCUAUUGCCUUAAAUAUGGCGCAUUUGGUUUGGGGAUAAAUUGUACCGAGAUAUUUUGCUAUCAGUUGAUUAUCCUGCUAUCCCAAGAUAGUUCAGAAGAAGGUGAAUUUUGUUUGUAGAUUUACCUUGUAGGAAUAACUUUAACGACUUCUGCGAUAGCUAUGAUGACUAUGGAGAUAGCAUCAGAUUAAGGGAUGGAUAUACGAUGUAAGGUGUUGAUUGGAGGCUUACUUUCCUGAUUAUCAUGCAGUUUAUUGUGUUUGGCUGAAUAAGGCGGAAAAUGUGCCCCUCGUUGUCCCCAACCAAAUAGAGCAUCAGAUAUGAGAAUCUAGGAAACUAAAUAUGUUGGUUUGCUUUUGUAGGAUUGCUUAUGUGAGGCAAGAGGACCUUUUUUUCUCGCAGUUGACUGUGCGAGAAACACUUUCACUUGCUGUUGAACUCCAGCUUCCUGAUUCAUUGCCACCUGAGAAGAGGGAGAAGUACGUCGGCGAGCUUCUGUUCAGGCUGGGCUUGGUGAGUGUUACAUCUUAAUUGGAAGUCUAACAUACAAGACUCCUGACAAGGGAUUACAUAUUAUGACUAUCUGCUUGUAUUUAAAUGUUGGAUAAUGUGAAUUUAAGUAAGAGGGAGUGUGUUGCUUUACUCUGUUUUAGGUAAGUUUCCUUUUAACAGUUUGUCUUCUCUUUUUCCUUGUUUUCUUGGAAUUUUCAUAUUAAAGACGUACUUAAUUCUUUCGUCAAACAAAAAAACAAAGAUGUAACUUCUUGCCUUUCUUUUUCCUUAUUGUGAUCAUUGUUGCCAAUUUAAAGGUCAGUUGUGCUGAUUCUAUUGUGGGCGAUGCAAAAGUUCGAGGCAUUAGUGGCGGUGAAAAGAAGCGCCUAUCACUUGCUUGUGAAUUGAUUGCUAGUCCAUCUGUCAUCUUUGCUGACGAACCAACUACCGGUAUGCAAUCCAUUAUCAUGACCAGCUUCCUCUUUGGGACGGCCUGAUUAUUUCCUUCCGAAUUAUAUAGAAUUUUCACUGCGUGAAUAACUAAUAUACAUUAGUGUUGAAAUUUUAACUAUUGCUGAUAAUCUGAUGUAACAAAGAUCUGCUUAAACCGACAUUUGACUAUGUAUUCCAUAAUUGUAAUGCAUUAUGUUGAUUACCUAUCCUAAUUUAUUGCUGUACUUUUAUUUGUUAGCUGUUGCGAAGAUGUUAUUGAUGAUCGCAUAAGGGAAAGGGCAAAAGAUAGAAAAUCUAACGGAACCUAAUUCCAAGGGCAGAAAACGGAAACUACUAAUGGAGUCUAAUUAUAUAUAAGCUUUCUUGUAAUCUCUCGACUUGAAACAAGUUGGCCUCACAUAUUGGUGCUGCUAAAAUUUUUCGUGGAAUGUUAGUUGGUUUUUUUCUCCGAAAUUAAGAAGUUUUCUUCACUUUACUCAACCUUUAACUUUGUAAGGUAGUUGCAUGAAAUCUUCUGUGGGAAAAGAAACUUUCUGAAGGAUCAAUUGUGACAUGGAAAUAUAAGCCUUGGAAAAAGCAAGUUUGCUAAUUAAUAUUGUUGUUGCCUAUGAAUAUUUCCUUAAGAGAAGGAUCUCUAGUUACAUGGAGGUAACAUAGAACUUUUCCUGUGUGUUGUUGGGCCUUUAAUAGGAAUGCAAGAUAAUAGAGCCUACUGGAUAUGGAAACAAAACAUGAUGUUAAAUUGAAAGGGCUUGCAUCAUGUACUGUUUUAUCCAUGGAUACCCUCAAACAUGAAACAAACGGAGCCAGGAUGAGAAUGCUCAGAAUAGAUGGGUCAAAGAUGUCACUACAGAACAAAGAAGCAAUUUUGUAUUUAUGGCAAGUGGAACUGAACUAAUCAAGAAGCCAAAAAUGAGAAAGUUUUUUAACAUUUUCCAUUCCAGAUCAAAUAUAUCGUCCUUUUAACAAGAGUGACUGACUCUGUUUAAGGUUCUAGCUAGGACAGGAAACUGGAAAAGACAUGGAUAAGAACAAUGCCGAAGAUAAUGAUCUUUCUCUAUUGGUAGACACGUGAUCCUAAAUAAAGUUAAAUGAUGAAAGAGCAUUCUGUUAAUUCCAUUAAAAGUGGUUAUAGUUUGGAUAUAGUUGUUGCUCUUUUCCUUUAUGUGUGCUGCUGAUCAUUGAACUUCAUAGUCGAGAUGUUCAACUUUUUUCUUUUGAGCAGCUCUCAUUCUUGUGUCUCGCAGUUUCUUCAGUAUGUUCCAGUAGACAUUUGUAUCAGUUCGUCUCGUUCAGUUCAUGAGUUAGCUAUUUAUGCUGUAGGUCUGGAUGCCUUUCAGGCAGAGAAAGUGAUGGAAACUCUUAGACAGCUUGCGGAAGAUGGACAUACUGUGAUCUGCUCUAUACACCAGCCAAGAGGUUCAGUCUACAGCAAAUUUGAUGACAUUGUAUUAUUAUCCGAGGGAUCAGUUGUAUACAUGGGUCCUGCAAAAGAAGAACCUCUGACCUACUUUGCUACAUUUGGGUUGUGACUCAACCACCGUACAUUGGAACACCCUGUUUGCAAUAUAAAUAGUUGUUUCUUCACAUAUUUCUGAUUCCUUGUUUUUCUUAACGGUAUUCUCUAUCUUAUAUUGUCUUAGUGCAGUUGUCGUUGUCAUUCAGUUUUGUCUUCAUUAGCCCAACAAAUAACAAAGAGACCUGGAAAGUUAUGUAUUUACAUAACAACCCUGCAACAUCCGACUUUCCGUACAUGCCCUUCAAAACCUUAAUUUGUUACAUAUAUGCCAUUGUAAUUAAGAGUGGCACUCUUCGAAAUUUUUUUUCCCUAUUGCAAAGCCCUCUUUCCCUCAUGAUGAAAAACUGCACUUUCGUGGGUUAUACAUUAAAAAUUCCAGAUAGUAUAGUUUCUCUAGUAUCAUAAUUCAUGUUUUAUGUACACAUCCUAGUUCCACGUAGGCAGAAAUUAAUGUUUUCAUAUUUGUAUCAUAUAAGUUUAUACAUGUAUGAUUUUAUUUAUCAAAUAGUUGCAUAUGUACCUAAUUCUCAUCUGUAUAGACAUAUUUGUGUUUUAGUGCUUAACAAAAGUCAAUUUAGACUUUGAAUUUGGUUGGUGAUGCCAAUUUUGUCAGGUUUCAAUGCCCGGACCAUGUGAACCCAGCUGAGUUUCUUGCUGAUCUCAUUUCAAUCGAUUAUAGUUCUGCUGAAAGUGUACAUUCUUCUCAGAAAAGAAUCGAUGAUCUUGUUGAAGCAUUUGCUAACAGGAUUCCAAUUACUGAGUGUAUCAGUCCAAUUACAAUUUUGGGGACCUCCAAAUUUCCAGCAAAAGUUGGCAGGAAAACUCUAGUUAAGAAGAGAAGUGGUUGGUGGAGGCAAUUCUGGUUGCUUCUUAAACGAGCUUGGAUGCAGGUUUGUUUGAAAUAUUUCCUUUAGCACACCCAAGUGCCAUUCAUGUACUGUCUUUUAACUGUAUACCUAAAAAAAGUGGUUAUUUGCAAAAUGCACUUCUUAAAGAGCCCAAAGAACCUCUUUUUGUUAAGAAAAAUAAUUCAUCUUUAUUCAUAUGUCUAGCCUAGACUUGGGUGUGAUUCCACAAUAUUAUUCUAGAUCUUAAUAAACGUGAUUUUUGACUUCUUAUGCAGUGAGUUAUCUUCAUAUUUGAGGCAUUGGUAAGCCAAAAGCCCCAAUAAAUACGCUAUGAAAUUCCGAUGACUAAAUAUAUACAACUUAGUACUAUAUAUGUUGGAAAUCCUCAUGCUGUUUUCUUUUGUUGGCAAAUAAAUCAGAAAACUCCUUAUAUUUGGCCCUUUGUAGUGUUAACAUGGAUGAGAUGCCCCUUCGACAGAUGAGGCAAUUUGUAUUUGUCAAAACUGGAAUAACUGCAGAAAACAGCUUGUUGUUUAUUCUCUUCUUUAUUGUGUCAAAGUUGGCAACUGGCUGAUAGUUAAUUAUAAUGAGCACAUCUGGAAAAAUGUCAACUAAAAAGCAGAUAUAAGAUAAAGUUUUCCGGUCAUGCAAUCAUAAAUGCUUACGAACAUCACACAACUUGUGUUAAUUGUAUUCACAGAAGCUAUUCAGAAAUCUGCAAUAUUUCCUGCUAAUUGGCAUCUGGCAACUCAAAUUUGCUUAUACGGUCUUCUAAUUCACUUCUAAGUUCUAAAAGCAGUAAGGGGUGCUUCAUUGCCAGGCUUGGCGUGAUGGACCAACAAACAAAGUGAGGUCGAGAAUGUCCAUCGCUUCAGCAAUCAUAUUCGGAUCAGUCUUCUGGCGGAUGGGGAGAAGUCAGACAUCCAUACAGGACAGGAUGGGACUUCUUCAGGUACUCCUUUUCUUGCAUUUUGUCGUAGUCAAUAUGUAUACUUGAAAUCCUUAAGAGUGAAGUUUUGAGGGAAAACAUGCGAUUGAAAAAGACCUCCUAGGGAUAAGAGAAAUAUGCCCUUCCUUUUGUACAUAGUCCUUCGUACACUUGGUGCCAUUAUCGAUUUGUUACAUAGAUCAGAUGCAAGUUCCUAAAUACAUCGAGAACAUCCUUCAACUUUUCCUCUCUCUCUCUCUCUCUCUCUCUCUCUCUCUCUCUCUCUCUCACAGAGAGGAUGCAUUUGCCAACUUUAUUUUUCUUACACACGGUCUCUGAUGGUGCAUGCCUCCACUAUAAUCUCCUUAUACCCUACCAGAGUAGUGUCAGCAUAAAGUUCAAGAAAAAGGCUUAGGGGCUUUUUGGUUUCUCUGAAAAGUAUGAAAAAAUGUUUUCUCAGAAAAAUCCGGAAAACGUAGACAUUAGUUUUCUAUGAAAUCUGGAAAGAAGUUUACCAAAAAAACUAGUUUUUCUUGGAACUAAACGGGCAGAAAAUUGGAAAAGGGAUUUUCCAUGAAAACUUUUUCUCAGAAAACUUCUUUUCAUAUUUUUCCGAGGAACCAAACAGCCCGUUAGCAGGGGAGCAGGUUUGUAUGUAGCUUGCUGCUGUGUAACACCACCAUGUGCUUCUUCUCCCAAAUAAGUAAUAACAUCAGGUUCUCUUGGAGUUAUGUCUUAUAAUGCACUCUUUAUUUUUUUUUUCACCUAUUUUUAUAGCUGCUGAUUUUUCUCAGUUGCACUCAAAAAGGAAAUUUUGUUUAAUAUAAUAUUUUUUCUUUGUGCUGGCAAAGGUGGCUGCAAUUAACACAGCAAUGGCGGCUCUUACCAAGACUGUUGGAGUUUUCCCAAAGGAACGUGCAAUAGUAGAUAGGGAACGUGCUAAGGGUUCCUAUUCCUUGGGCCCAUAUCUUUUGUCUAAAUUGCUUGCUGAAAUCCCUAUAGGAGCAGCAUUUCCAUUAAUGUUUGGUACAAUUUUAUACCCAAUGGCUCGUCUUCAUCCUACUAUAUCCAGGUCAGUUUUAUUUCAUACUUACACUGGUUAAUUUAUUCAUACCUCUUUUCUCAUAUUCUUUUUUCCCCACCUCUUUAUUUUCGUGUUCAUUCCAGACCCUUUUAUGUAAUAUUUUCUAAUCUCAACCUACACACCCUGAUGUUUGCUUGACGAUUUCCGUUUCUAUAUGCUAUACAUUUUGCGUUCGAUCAGCAUAACAAAACACCUUAAUUUAGUUCAUGCUCUCUAUGGGGUCCACGGUUUGUGGCUUUCACCAUGAAAAAUUCUAUAUUUAUAGAAUCUGAUAUAUGCUUCUUCUCGUUUUUUUUGGUAAUUUGUCCAUUUUUUAAUUUGAAAUGAAAUUUAUGAAAUUUUAGAUUCGCUAAGUUCUGUGGCAUAGUGACUGUCGAAUCCUUCGCCGCAUCUGCCAUGGGUCUUACCGUUGGGGCGAUGGUCCCUACAACUGAGGCAGCAAUGGCUGUUGGGCCAUCACUUAUGACUGUAUUCAUUGUCUUUGGAGGCUAUUAUGUCAAUGCCGAGAAUACCCCCAUCGUCUUCCGAUGGAUCCCUCGAGUCUCUCUCAUCAGAUGGUAUUUUACUUAGAAUCUCCCUACAUGAAUGUUUUUUAGUACAGUUUUUCUCAAAUCUGGCUAAUGAAUUUCAAAUCUUUCUUCAUUACUUACAGGGCUUUCCAAGGGCUUUGCAUUAAUGAAUUCAGUGGUCUCGAAUUUGAGCAUCAGAAUAGUUUUGAUGUACAGACUGGAGAACAGGUACCAAAGUGUAUAAAUAUUUUUUGGGUUACAGCAUGAAUUGAAACUGCUUCAAAAGGCGCUGCUGCAUAUUACGUAAAACAGUGAUAGUACGUAAUGAUACUAUGCCAUUGAUAAUUGCUCGCUACUGAAAUAUAUCUGGAGUUUUGGGGUUUCUAUAACAGUGAAGUAUAAUAGAAACAAACAAGGUCACUAGCAAUCGAAAGUGAAGCAUUAAUAGCUUCCAACUACAGCAGAAGCAGAAACUUCAAAAUAUCAAAUUGAAGCUUAUACUUUGGGACUAUGAAGCUUAUUUUAGCUUCUUGCUAAAGAGAAAACAAACAUUUUCUUCAUCAAACCUCUUGCUCUUGCUUCGUAGAGUAGAGAGUAGUUAUUUUGGAAGCUAUAGCUGAAGCAGGCACCAAAUCACCAUAGUUUAAUAGGAAAAUUCCAUCUAAAUAAGCUGAAAAAAAGGCAUUACUGAUUUGCUUUCCGAGUUUUCACAUCAUCUUGUUCUAAUUUUAUUUUUGAGAAAUGUUAUUUGAUGGUCCAAGCGGUCGUUCUUUCGUUAUCCUUUAGGUUUUGGAGAGGCUUUCCUUCGGAGGAAGCCGCAUCGGGGAUACGAUGAUCGCGCAGGGAAGGAUUUUGAUGUUCUGGUACUGGACAACUUACCUACUGCUGAAGAAAAACAAGCCAAAAUACCAACAGCUUCUGCCCCCCACUACAGUGAAGCACCAAGUUGAGCAACUUCAACCUGCCAAGGAGAGAUCUAUAUGAUCUUUUCUCCGGUAGCAUAUGUAAUCGCGGCAUUUUGAAUUAGGUUUAGUUUCUGUUUAUGUGGAGAGGGUGAAUGUUGAUGGCCUCUUUGUUCUGAUAUAAUAAUGUUUUUAAACAUGUAUGUUUUUUCAGUACCCUAGUUCGGCAAAUGAUUGUAUCACGCUUGCUGCAGAGUGGAGUUUAAUUUCAGUGGUACUUUGAAUGUAAUUAUUAAUGCAAUAUAGUUGAAAAUGUAUGCAGUUAAAAAUACAAUAGUUACAACUAUGAAUAAAACGUUUUACGCGUUUGUUUGUAGAAGUGCGUAAGUUCAAGGGUUUCAGUACAAUUUUUCCACAAACAGAAUCUUCUGUAUUGGGGUUAAUCUCACAACUUCAUGUGUUAAGAAUGAAACCAAAUAAAUUAUUCAUAACCCACUAUAGAGCCCGCGAUUCGCGGCGGGUCAAUAAUUUUUCAGUCAAUCAAUAUAAAUAAUUCUUAAAUUUUAAAAAUUAAAAAAAUAUUAUAACCAAAAAGAAUCAAAGAAAAAAACUCAUAUAGUCUAUUACACAUUAUAAAAACUAAACUUUUUUUUAUUAAUAUUUUUUGACUUUCGGUAUUUAUCGAGUUAGAGUAUUUUAAUAACUUCACUAAAAAUUCAAUCAAAUUUAAUAAUUUUAAUAGCUAUUCUAUAAUUAAAUUUUUUAAUUACAAAUUUAAAAUUGGAGGACUUAUUCUAAAUUGCCAAAUAUAUGAGAUUGUCUUUAUCUUAUUAUAAUUGACCGGAGAAAGAAAAGAUUAUUAUAUGCAUCUACUAUUUAUAUGCAUCUACUAUAUAUUAACACACCAUACAACUUAUAUUAGAGGACUAAUUUUUAAUAUCAAAUUUUAAUUAAAUAUAUCUGAUCUAUAAAGUUUAAUAAUUUAAAUAUAUUUACUGAAUUGAAUUUUAAAAUUUCUAUUAGAUAUUUUAAGUAUGUAUUGUAUGUAAUUAUAUACACCCAGUGUAGAGAAUGCUUAAUAAAGUGAACUCAUAAUUCCAAGAAAAUGAGAGGAUAAAUUUUUACUCUCAUUUGGUGUAUACUAAUAUUUUAUACACUGCAAAAUUAUAUUGGAUGAUUGAUAAAAUAUCUGAUAAUUAGUAUUAAAAAAUAAAAUAUGAAUAUAGUGUAUGUAAUAUAAAAUAUUUAAAUAAUUUAUUACUAUAAAAAAUUUUCUUUGAUGCAUAUGUAAUAGUCGGUUUAAAGUGCAAUUAGUGCGUCCAAAAUUCCUUGAUAUGUGGCAAGCUCUCAUUAGUUGUUGCCUUGAAUUUUUGAGAAGCUCUUCUUCACAAUUCCCAAAAAGAGGAGAAAAUUUUUUUUACACCUGAUAUAUAUAUUAAUAUUUCAUACACGGUGAAGCAUAUUAGAUGAUUGAAAAAAUACCUUAUAAUUAGUAUUGUAAAAUAAAGUAUAAUAUAUAUAAAAUAUUUAAAUAAUUUAUUGUACUGUAAAAUUUUAAUUUUGAUACAUAUUUAAAAUUAGUUUACGGCGCACUGGGUGCGUCCAAAAUUUCUAUUAGACUUGUGGCAGCUUUUUAUUGGCUGUUGCUUAAACAGGAGAAGUGGCUCUUUAGAAAGCUAUUGUUGUAAUGUAAUGGAAGUGUCAAUUUAUAUAUGUUAUAAAUAGAUUAUAUCAUUUUUAUUGCAUAAAACCAAAUAAGAUAUUUUUUAAAUAAUUAUUAUAUUUUUAACUGUACGCAAUUUUAAUUACAUUGUAUUUAUAAUGGCAUCCAAUCUAACGGCAUCUAGAAAGAGCAAAAGUAUUCUUUGUAACAGGUAUAACACAUAAGAUAUAUUUCAAACCAAUCAUAUUAUAUUAUAAGUGGAUAAAGAAGGAUCUAAUCAAAAAAAAAAAGAAAAAAGAAGUUGUUUAUUUCAAGAGUCACAGAAUAUACGGAAAAACUAAUUUUAUUGUGCCAUAUAGAAUGCGUAAAGAGUUAAUCAAGAAUAAAAUGAUAAUUUUAUUGUACAAAAUUUUUUAAAACUUUUAGCAUUAAAAAAAUUACACUUCGGUCCUCAAACUAUGGCUUGAACUUUCUGAAUUAUUGCAAUCAAGCCCCACAAUCUAAUUUUUUGAUUAAAUAUUGAUGAAUUAUUAUGUAAAAGUGAUAUAGCAAUAUCGUAAUUGAUGAUGCAACAAUAAAUAAGAUACUACAUCACUUCUAUCUUAGUAAUUCAUCAAUAUUUAAUAAAAAAAAUAGAUUGUAGGACUUAAUUAUAAUAAUUUGGAAAGCUCGAGAAAUUACAAUAACUUUGGUAUCGUUUAGUUCAGGAAUAAGCAAAAAGUGACUAUUUUAUGGAUAAAUAUAAAUUAAGGUAUAAGAGGGGAUUAGAUCAAUUUUGCAUUUGGAUGAAAAUUGGGUUAUUACUAAGAAUAAAAAAAUAGCGUUUAAUUAGGUAAGAUGGAAUAAGAAUUAAAGUGGGUAGUUAUAAAUAAAAAAUAAUCAUAUUAUCCCUUUCUUUAUAUUAGAAUUUAAAUUUUUAUAUUUUAUAUUUAUAUUUUAGAAUUUAAAAUAUAAAAUUUUACAAUUUAGAAUCUCAAAUUUACAAUUUUAUAAAUUUUAAACUUUAAAUUUAAGAUGAAAUUUAUUAUUAAUAAAUUUAUAAUUUUUUUUAAAAUUCUACUUAAACUGAAAUAUAAUAAAAAUAAUUUAUUAUAAUAUUUAAAUAUAAUUUACUAUAAAAUUUAUUAUAAUAUGUAAAUAUAAAUAAUAUGUAUUAAUAUAGUACAAUUAAUAAUUUUAUAAAAAAAUAAUGUAUUAUAAUAUAUAACAUAUUAUAUUUAUAUAAUUUAGUUUUAAUUCAAUUUAUAAUUUUAAUUAAGUUCGAAAUUAAGCAUUGUAAUAGCACUAUUCCACCAAAAUGAUGGAAUAGUAAAUCUCAAACUAUUCAGGGAUAACCGGGAAUAGCAAGGUUUGACCGGGAUAAAAUAUCCCGCCAAAAAAUCACCCCUUUUGGCGGAAUAGCAGGGAUAACUUUCGUUAUCCCCGCUUAUCCCCCGAAUCAAACAGGGCCUAAGAGUAUGAACUGGACUACAAACUGAGACAACUGGACCUCUAAGGAAAAAAAAAGAGAGAGAAAAAAAGAAAACUACUAGCAAAAGAGAUCCAGAAAAAUUUGAGGUUAAAAGAAAAAUAAUACAAACCAGUAGCCAGGUGGGGAAAACAAAAAAAUUAGAUAUGUUAUGAUUAUUCUAAUAUAUUAAUAUGAAGAUAUUCAUCAUCUCUGAAAAGAAUAAGAUUAAUAUUUUAGGAUGAAUAUCAUUUUCAAAUAAAUCUAACAUUAUCAACUAAAUUAUUUAGUAUAUUUAGUCAAACAUCGUCAUAAUUUUUUCUUUUAUUAAAUUUUUUAAAAUUUUAGAAAGAUAACGUGAACCCAAUACACCCUUAGGGGAUUGAAUUUUAGAUAUCCAGGUGCUUACCACUUUGUCCGUAGAGAAUCACCUAAACAUUACAGAUGAACGGUGCUUUGCUGAAAACGAAUUAAAUUGGAUUAGAAUUGGAAUUGGAGUCGAUCUGAUCGCUCAUUGUGAGUGUUUCCUGGCCUAUCGUCGUCACUCCGAGACCACCUCUCAAGCUGGAUUAGCACCGAGAGUGACAGAUCACCAAGUUCUCCGGGAUGUUGGAGAGGUGGUUCACAGAGAUAAGGCAACGGUAAUCGGAGAGGUCAGCCAUACGAGCGUUGAAGUCAUCCGGCCUAAUAAAGCGACUAAAGCCGCCGACAAGGGCCACCACUGUUUGGGAAGACCAGCACUCUUAGGGGAGGCUGACCAAACGGAUCCAAACCUUGUAAGUCAUGGGUGGCCGUCGUGCGUCGUUGUAGGGAUUCCAAAGAAAGCAGCGUAAACGGAGAUCUCCCAAGCUAAGGAUGUCCUUGCAGAGGAGUUGGUUGCUCAGCACCCAUUCCGGUAGGAAAACAACAAAGUCUCUUUCGCUAUACUGGGCAACAUGAAAGUUGGAUGGGUAGCCCCUGAAACGAUUCGCGAGUCCAUUAGCAACGGUUUCCUAAGGGAAAUGACCCAGUUGGCGGGGGGGAUCACGUUGACAAGGAUAGCAUUGCGGCGACGAUUUUGUCGGGCGAAGAAGUCGUCGGAAAGGGGGGGGACAGAAGAGCUAAGGUAGGCAGAGCAGGCGCGCAUGGCUCGAUAGACUUUCAAUGGCAGGCGAUUCAUAUUGGAUCGUGCUUUGUGGCCCGACUUGAAACACCUAGUGCAGCGGAUGGGAUCUUGAUAGUGGGUGGCCCAGUGUGCUCAGCCCAAGCACCUAUAGCACCUGCCUUUGAAGGAGAAUUUGCCAAAGCUCAAGGGAGGGUAAGGAGGGGACCGCUGUGGGAGAGGUGAGGCUAAGGUUUAGGGGGUGGAGCGGGAGUGAGGAGUGCGUCCCUGUAUGUCUUCUUAAAAAGAGGGGAAGGAAGGCGCUUCUUGGAGUGUUGCCUGGUAGACCGAAGCUUGUCGUCCGAAGUAAAUGACCCCGAGUUUAGAAGGGAAUUGUCUUUUCGAAAGUAAGUAGUUUGAGUUUAUGCAAACCCGGCUGUAUCCGCCCAUAGCACCUUCUUGGCGGAGGAGCUAGCUUCGUAAGCUGGUUUUUAGAGGUUGGUGGAUGCAGUAACUCCAUUGCUCGAAUUCUGUUUGAGGCUCUGAAACCUUAGCUCUAGGUCUAAAGCUAACGAGACUUGCCGAUGUCGACUGCCGCACUGCCGGCACAGACAGAAGGAGACGCUUGACGGGUGGUGGCUUCUCUGACACCAAUGCCUCCUGGAACUCCUCUGAAAUCCGAGAUAAAAGACGGGACGCUCACCCCUCUGGUUGCCUGGUACACCGAGAUCUUUCUGCCUCUUCUCCGCUCCGGCAGGCCUCUUCUGAUGGCGGCACAUCUCUUCCGCCGCGUUAGGCAGAAAGGCGGCGGGAAUUUACGGUCUCUUCUGUUGGAAUCUCCCCGGCUGACAGUGGCGCAGUUGGACGACCGAAAAAUUUUUCAAAUUCAAAUCUCUCCCUUGCUGGACUUCCUACUUCUAUGCUAUCUGACGUGAAGGACGGAAGAAAUACCUCUAUGUCAGGCGGCUUCACCCUUCAUGUUCUCCCCCCGAAGGCCUUCCGCCCUUCUUUUGUCAUCAAGACCCUCUUUCUUGAGUCUGGAAGCUCUCAGGACAACCUUUGGUUUUCGCACCUAGCUGUGGUCGACAAAAAGGGAUUUCGUGGCUUUUUCAACGAAGUAGAGAAUCGCUGGUGCAUUUAUUUCGAAAUCCGCCCAGCUUCCUCGAUCUUCACGAAUACUGAAUCCGGGCUUGAUGCGACUGGGCCUAGGUUCGCACCUCCUUUCCCUGAUCAACGGUGGGCCCUCUCUCACUUUGUCACCGAUCCGGGUUUUUUUGGAUUCAGGCCUGACCUCGCCUCCCCUUAUUUUGGUAGUGGACUGCACCUCUGUGGCAGUCAGGGUAAUAAGCCUUCUAAUAGUUUGGAUUCUACUUCUUUUGGACUGGAAUCAGGAGGUGGUAAGGGGGUGGACUGCACCUCUGUGGCAGUCAUGGUAAUAAGCCUUCUGAUAGUUGGACUCGACUUCUUUUGGACUGGAAUCAGGCGGGCCACCUCCUUUCUCUGAUUAGCGGUGGGCCUUUUCUCACAUUGUCACCUGUCCGGGCUUUUUUGGAUUCGGGCCAGACCCCGCCCCCCUUGUUUCAGCGGUGGACUGCACCUGCAUGGCAGUCCUGGCAAUAGGCCCUCCGUAGUUUGGACUCGGCUUCUUUUGGGCUAGAAUCAGGCGGGCCACCCCUGGUUGUCGUGGCCACUCCUACCCCUGCUUGCGAUCCGACGGAACCGCCUAGGUCGAGCACUAGGCUUCUCAAUCAGACGAAGGACUCAGCCUUGUGUAGGGCGAUGCGCAGGAAAGCACGUCUUCUCGAGGGCGAAAUGAUCUCAGCUGGGAAGUCGGUGCGCGAGUGGACCAGCAAGAAAGUCAAGGCGAAGAGCCUCCUCUGCGACGUGAAGCUCUCCGAUGCCGAAGCUAAGGAUCUUCAGAAGCUCAUGUGCGCUAAUGCCUAGGAGUUGGCUGUCUUUAGCAUUAGCUCUUUGUGAUUGUUAUGUGUGUUGUCUUGUGUCGUCUUGUUAUGUGUGCGUCGUCUUUUUCUGAUGUUUAACAUUUUAAAUUGGAAUGUUCGUGGUCUCAAUGACCCAGCUAAGCGUCGUUGCGUCAAGUCCGUAGUGUCUCCUCUCCUUUGUUCUGUUGUCUGUAUUCAAGAAUCUAAGGUGGAUUCUGUGUCUCAUUCUUUCCUACGCUCUUCCUACGGAUCUAACUUUGAUAGGUGCCACUUUAUUCCGACGGUUAGGGCUUCUGGUGGUAUAAUCUCUUGCUGGAGUUCUAAAUUUUUCUUGUGUAAUGAGGUCUUAGUGCGAGAGCAUUCACUUACUCUCAAUCUAACACGCCUCGCUAGCGGAAAGACCUUCUACCUCACGAACGUGUACGGGCCUCCGAACUGGGAUGGAAAGGAAACUUUUUGCACCGAACUGCUCUCUUUUAAAGGGUUUGCUCUAACAACUGGAUCAUCUGCGGAGAUUUUAACUUCACCAAAAAUCAGUCUGAAAGAAAAGGAAACCCCUGGAGUGCUAAAGCUAUGGCUAUGUUUACUGACCUCAUCAGUAACUUAGCGGUUAUUGAUUUUCCUAUGUCUAACCAAAACUUCACUUGGUCGAAUAUGCAACAUAACCCACACUGGCCAAACUCGACAGAUUUCUUGUAUCAACAGAAUGGGACCAUACUUUUCCUCAUUGCAAGGUCAAAGCCCUUCCCCAAACCACCUCCGACCAUACCCUGAUCAUCCUGACUACGGGGCACCACCCCACGUCGAGGAGAUUUCGGUUUGAGUCGGUCUGGCUAACAAAGGAGGAUUUUCUCACAAAAGUACCGCUUUGGUGGAAUGAAGUCACCCCUAAGAUAUCGACCAUCCUCACUAUAUCUGCUAAGUCAGGCAUUGCAGAGUUAGGAUGAAGGAAUGGUGUAAGAUGAAUUUUCACAGCAUAUCUAACUCUAAGAGGCUACUGCAGGAGGAACUCCAAAAGAUCGACCAAUUAGAGGAACAUCACAACCUAUCCCAGAAAAUCUUGGAUAAACGGGCGACCUCAAAUCACAACUACACUUUAUCCUAGAGGAGGAAGAAAUUCUCUAAAAAAUCAGGGCCAAACAGCGUUGGCUCAAAGAAGGUAACGGAAACACUAAAUUUUUUCACGCGGUGGCCGAUGGUCGAAAACAUAAUAACAGGAUUGAAGUCAUUGAAGACGACCCCGGGCGGGAAAUUUCUAAUGAAGAACACAAGAGAUCAUACUUCUUUCACUCUUUUAAACGACUGUUUGGCCAGGAAGCGGAGAGUCUACCGUCUCUUGGAGAUUGGAGUAGUCUCUACCACUCUAACAGAUUACUAAACCCUGAAAUCCUAACCACUCCGUUUACAAUUGAGGAAGUUCGGGCUGCCACCAUCCAACUUGGCAGCGAGAAGGCCCCUGGGCCAGACGGGUUUUCCUUAAUUUUCUUCCAAACCUUUUGGGAGACGGUCAAGGAGGAUAUUUUCAAUGUUUUCACCGAUCUCUAUGACGGCAAAUUAUACACUGGCCCGACUGACUACUCUUUCGUGUGCCUCAUACCUAAAAAAGAAGUAGCACGCAAGGCCAAAGACUUCUGACCGAUCAGUCUCAUCAAUGAAAUUCAAAAAAUCAUCUCAAAAAUCCUUACUAACAGACUUGCGCCUAUACUUCUGUCCAUUAUCACUUCAAUGCAAUCGGCCUUCUCAAAGACUGGCAACUAGUAGACUCUUUCUUCACCUCUUGCGAACUUGUAAACUGGUGCUCAAAAUCUAGUAAUGAAUGUGUAAGUAUCAAGGUUGACUUCGAAAAAGCAUUCGACAAUGUCAAAUGGGUCUUUCUGCAAAGUAUACUUAGAUGGCUGGGUUUCAACGACAAAUGGUGGACUUUGAUUGAGUAAUGUAUCGUCAACGCCAAAAUAGCUAUUUUAGUCAAUAACACCCCGACAGCAUGGUUGAAAGCAAAGAAGGCCCUCAGACAGGGAGACCCUCUCUCCCCCUACCUCUUUUUAUUGGUGACUGACUGUCUAGCAAGAGUAGCUGAGACGGCUAGAGAUAACAGCCUGCUACACAAAAUUGGCCUAUCAGAAGAUUGUCAGACGGUGAUUAUCCAAUACGCCGACGACACUAUUCUUUUCUGCGAGCCAAGAAAAAAUUAUAUGCGGAACCUCCAGUUUAUUUGGAAAACAUUUGAAUGGGCCUCGGGCCUCAGGAUUAACUUGGACAAAUCGAAAUUAUUUUACUUUGGGCCCAAUCCUUGCAAAGCCGAUAGACUGGCCAGCAUUUUACGCUGUAAAGUAGGUUCUCUACCAUUCCGCUAAUUGGGAUUACCACUUAACACCAAACAACUUCGUAGGGAAGAUUGGGCACUGGUUAUCGAUCGCAUAGAUAGGAGAAUCGAAGGAUGAAAAGCUAAACUUCUCUCCCAGGGGGGGAGACUCACCCUUGUCAACUCGGUUCUAACCAAUUUGUCGCUAUUCUAUAUUUCCAUCUUCAAAGCGCCUCAAUUGGUACUACACCGGAUGAAGCCCUGAGAAGAGCCUUCUUCUGAAAAAGGUGUUCCAAAAUUUUCGAGGGAGCAUGCCUCAUUAGCUAGAAUACUGUCUGCAAAAGCAAGGCAGAAGGAUAGCUGGGGAUCAAAGAUCUGGACUCUAUGAACACGGCACUCUUAACCAAAUGGUGGUGGCGUUUCUUCAACGAGCCACACCGGCCUUGGUGCAAACUGAUUAGAUCUCUUUAUUACAUCAGACGAAGGCCGUUGCACAAGGGCAGUGCCUUCGCACCUUACUCGCAGUGGUGGAAAAGUGUGGUACGAUGCCGCGAAGUGUUUAAAUGCGGUGUAUCUUACGUGCUAGGUAACGAAAACAACAUCAGGAUGUGGUCCGACAUUUGGGUUGGAGAAACCCCUCUAAGCACCAUGUUUCCAGACAUUUUCGUCAAUAUUACGAACAAGGAGACCAGAGUAUCUCAAUGCUGGAACUCAAACAGAUGGAGAUGGCACUACAUCUGCAGGGGCUUCGCAGUGUCCCAUUCCACCGAAAAUCGUAGACAAUUGAUAUCAUUUAAAGUUCUGAUUAUUCAUUGUAUCCCAAACACCAGCCUGGACUUGCCGAAAUGGAGGUGGACCUCCAACUAGCUUUUUACUGUCAAAUCCCUCUACCAGUUUCUAGCGAGACUUGAUAAACCAGCAUAUUUAGAGAUUAAAAAUUUCAGUCAAAAUCAAAAUCUUCAUCUAGUUGCUGCUUCGAAAGAGAUUACUCACUGCCGACAGAUUGCUCAAUCGACGGAUGUUUGUAGAGCAAAACUGUGGAUUCUGUGUUGUACUCACGGAAAGCUGCGACCACCUCUUCUGUUACUGUGUCUUCGCACGAUACCUUCUCCUUCUUGCGGCGGGUCUAGAUGCACCCGACGAGGACUCGGGUGACGUAAGAGACCUUUCGACAAAUAUUUCUAACAUCCCUGACAGCGCGAAGAGAUCAAACGGUCUUACCCUUUUGGUAGCAAUUUGGUGGGCCGUCUGGAUGGAAAAAAACAACCUUACUUUCCGCUCGAAGUCUCCUAACGCUAUCCGGGCUCUCGAACGUGCCAAACUCUUGAUAAAGAAUUGGAUCGAGCUCCUCUGAAUCGUCAUCAAUUCUUCUUCCCUACUCUUCAGUCUUUUCUCUUUCACUUUUGCCUUUUUCUUUUUUCCUACUUUCUCUCUUUGUUUAUUUUCUUACUACACUUUUUUGCUCUUUUUUCGGAAGCCUUAGCUGCUUCCACCCUGUUCGCCUAGUUCAUUUUGCUUAAUGAAUGAAUAUAGCUUGCUAUCUUUUUCUCAAAAAAGAAUUAGAAUUCGAGUCGGAGUUGAGAUUGACAGUAAAAUUGGAAUUAGAUUAACAUGUAAAAGAUAUAUCUUAAGAUUAGAUUGGCCAUCAAUAACAGAUAUUUGUUAGAGAUCUACUCUCUUUCCAACUUCAUACGUUUAUAAAUGCAGAGGAUCUUACGUAAAUUAGUUAUUACUUCACAAUUCCUCACCUCGUACAUCAAAACCCUGGGCGUUGCAAUCCUCCUUCUAUUAAGAGUUUGAAUUGGCUGCUCGAACUCGCAAAAGGCAAUACAAAAGGUGACCAGGGGAGGCCACACGCUUUCGGAGGACAUCAUUGAGUACGGCGUCCUCCCUCUGCUUCCCGCCAAAACUAGUUGCAAUGCGUGUCGAAGCGCUGGCGCGCCUUAAUCUCCACUGACUCCCACUUCAUGCGCCUGCAAGACGCCUACGCCCGCUCCUCCCCCUCCCUCCUCUUCGGCGAAACGCCUUGCCAAGUCUUCCUCUCCCGCCGAGAAGAAAGGAACCCACCCUGUUCCAUCGGCUUCCUGAGAAUCUUCAAGCAGCCCUAGUUCAACUGCCCAGUCGACGACUGGCUCCCCCUCGCGGCCUGCCGCGGAAUCCUCUGCAUUGCUAUAACCUCGAGGAGCGGCAUUAUAUCUGAGCUCUACUUGGGUAAUCCGGUGUGGAUGGAUUGGCGUCCUCUCCCAACACCCCCAAGCUGGACGCCCCAAUUUUCUUGUUGGAGGAUGCAAUUAGCUGUCUAUGACACGCAAUGUGGCGCUCUCCGCAAGAUUGUCGUGUUGUUUUUAAUGCAGAGCGGUACCGCUGGCCAAGCAGACGCUUCUUUCUUCGUCUUCUCUUCCGCCAAGGGCUCAUGGGAAACAUCUCGGUAGCAAGUUUCGCUGAAGUUGUUGUACGCUCUGGAAGAUGCGUAUGAAUUACUUUCUAGUGUCUAUGUGGCGGAAACUUUCUUUUGGCAUGUCAGAAGUGAGAUGUUAUGGUUCGAUCCGAGAGAAGAGCGCGGCGGCGCCGUACCUUCGCCAUUCACGGCCGCCGCGUAUUAUCAGAAUAUCAGUGAAUGGGAAGGGAAGUUGAGCUUCGCGAGGUUGGAUGAUAGGGAGAUCCACAUGUGAUCCUGAAACCAAUCCUCUUGGUCCUACAGGAUUUGCUUACAAUUGAGACGGUCGCGAAAGCCAAUCCAGACUUCUUCGCUUUCAUGGGCCUCAGGAUGAAUCUAAGAAACCAAAGUACCAAAUCGUUGGAGACCGUUCUUAACAGGACCCGCGCGUCUAUUAUUGCCUUUGGAGUUGGUUUCAUCGUGCCCAAAUUUAAUUCUCACGGGAUCUGCUACGACACAGCAACCGGAGAGGCAUGGAAUUUGAAGCGAGCAAUUUCAAGUGAUGACGGUACGAGACAGGUUGGUUACACAAAUAGCCUUCUUAAACUGACAACUCCUUCAUUACUGUAGUAGUCAGCAGCUUCUUGAGCUCUACAUUAUUUUAUAAUUUAUAGAACCUGUGCCUGUUCUGCAACGCGAGCAACCGCUCCGCAAUAUAGUUCUUUUGCUCUCUGAACUUCGAGGAAACAAAUCACCAUUGUAUGUUUAUUUUGCUUUUGUAUAACAAUUCAAGCAAAUAUAUAGCUUUUGGAUUCAUUAUAAAGCUAGUCUGAGGAAGAUGAAUAAAAAAUUAAUAAUUUUAAUAACUAUGUACUUUAUGAAAUUUAGAAAAUUGAUAAAAAAAAUUCUUAGUAUCAGAAAUUUGAUCAAAUAUAAUUCACCCUCUGGAAUUUAAGAAAUUUUAAUUUAUCAUCCUAACAAUUCAUUUGUUACAUUUUCUUUCUUUUUUUCUUUCUUUCUUUCUUUUUUUUACUUUUUCUAUGUAAAGGCUGUAGGCUUAUUCCAUUAUUCGUUGCAAUUGCACACUUCGAAUUUAAACUACCCGCUGUGCGGCCUCACGCGGGACCCUGCCGUUUUGCACAUAACCCCUUAUUAAUGCUUUGUUUGAUUCGGGGUUAAGUAAGAACUAGUUAUUUCAGGGAUAUGUUUAAGUUCAGGAUUAAUGUGGAGUUAGAGUAAUUUUGUAUUUGGUUGAGAAUUGGGUUUAAUCCAGAUAUAAGAAAAUUAGUGUUUGAUUAGAGUAGGUGGAAUAAGAAGGAUGGUGGGUUGUUAUAAAUAGAAAAUAAUGAUAUUGCCUCAAUUUUCAUAUUUGAAUUUAAAUUUUUUAUUUUAUAUUUAAAAUGUUAAAUUUAAAUAAAUAACUUUUAAAAUUAAAAAAUUCAAAAUUAAAAUUUAUUUUUAAAUCUCAAAUUUAAAAAUUUAAAGUUGUAAAAUUUAAAUCAAAUCUAACAAAUAUAAAAUUUUAAAAAAUAAAAAUAACAAUUUAAAAUUUAAUUUAAAAUUAAAAUUUUAAAAAAUAAAUAUAUAAAUAUAUAUUUUAAGAUUACAAAUUAUAAAUUUUUAAAUUUUCAAUUAUAAAAUAUUAAAUUUAAAAUUUAAAUAAUUAAAAAUAACAAUUUUAAAAUUUUAAAUUUUAAAAUUUAUUUUAAAAUUUAAAAAUAUAAAUAUUAAUUUUAAGAUUACAAAUUAAAUAUUUUAAAAUUUUCAAGUAUAAAAUGUCAAUUUUAAAUUUUAAAUUUUAAAUUUUAAAAAUAUUAAUAUUAAUUUUAAGAUUACAAAUUAUAAAUUUUAAAAUUUAUAAUUUAAAAUUAAAAUUUUUUAAAUUAUAUUUUAAAUUAAAUUGGGAUGAGAUUAACUUUAAUCACAUCUCUAUUUUUGGGAGGGGUGGGGUUAACUAACCCCAACCCCGCCCCUCUAAAAUCAUGUUUAGCUAUAGUUUGAGGACAAAUUACCGACGAAAAGAUCAACAGAAAUCUCAAUCUAUCAAAAAUAAAUGCGAAAAUUAAAAUAGCAUACCAAAAUUUACAUAGAAAAACUCCAACAAAAAAAAAAAUUUACGGAACAAACACGCGAUAACAAUUCACUAAGAAAUAAAAGAUUAUAAGGUGAUUACUUACUACACGGAUUCAAACUUCUCUUUUAUCUUUUUUGGAUUUCGCGCUCUUCAACGGCUAGUCCACGCCCACAUACGAAUUCACGAACGCCACUCGAAUUCAGAAGCACCAAUGAUUUGAAUCCACGAAUUGUCUUGGUCACGUCGAAUUCAUGACGCCACUCCGUCCGGAACAAAACAAAUAACAUUGGUGGUGAUUCCUUACUUAGAGAAUCAUUAAAAAACCGUUAAAAAUGUCUCUAAGCAAUGACCAUAUCAAUUCUCCAUAACAAAAGAGAAAUUAGAUUUUCAAAAAGUGAUCCGAUAAAAACUUGCUUUUGGGGAUGAGAGAGAAAGCACCAAACAAGUUUCUAAGAUUUUCUAAAAAAUAUUUUAUACUUAACCACAUUUUAAAGACAACCUCACAUCUUAUUUAUUGAUUUGAAAACAAUUAGAACCAGAUUAGAAUUGAAAAUUUGAUUUUAAAAAGUUUUGGAAGUAAUUAGACUCAGAUUAAAAUUGAAAAACUGAUUUUAAAAUGUGCCAUCUUAUUUAUAUAUUUGGAAACAAUUACAAUCAGAGUAGGAUUGGAAAACUUCAGAUUUAAAUAUUUAUCAAUUUAUAUCUAUUCUAAUAUCUUCCAAAUAUGUAUAUGAUUAUAAAUCAUCACCGAUAUUAUCUAAACUUAUCGAGCAUCGUAAAUUCAUACUUUGAAUUUUCAAAUCUUCAAUUUUCAUUUUUUUUUUUGAAUUUUGAAGACUCCGACUCACUUCACGAAAUAUACUAAUAUAAAAUUCGUAACAUGUCAAAAUUUAAUUUAUUAUAAUUUAUAUUUUAAAUUUUUAAAAUUAUUAUAAUUAAGUCCUGUAAUUCAAUUUAGUUGAUUAAAUAUUAACAUAUUAUUAAUAUAUAAGUGAUAUAUCAGUACUAUACAUUAUUUUUAAGUUAACAAUAUAUUAAUAAUUAAUCAACUAAAUUAGAUAGUAAAAUUUAAUAAUAAUAAUUUUAAAAUUUUAAGUCAGAAAUUAAAACAUAUUAAAAUUUGAAAACGAAAGUGUCAAUUUUGAAGACCACGCAUGUAAUUUAUCAUUUUUUAAAAAAAUUUAGCAUAACGUACGGACAUUUGUCAAGAAUCCUAUGUAAGUUAAAGUACAGGGCGGUGAUAUAAAAGCUAAACCGCAGUGACCGACACGUGUCAGUAUCAGGGACAGUCACCACACGUGGCAUUUCUUAAGAUGCUAUGCUCAAUCUAGGACGGACACGUGUCAGUUCACGGUAUUCCAUGUUCAAUUAAUUUUUUAAAAAAAAAAGAAUCGGUGGUUUCCUAAAAUUUUAAAAUUCACGUACGUACGUACGAAAUAUAUUAAUUUUUUAAAACGCAUUUACGAGUAUCUUAAAAUAAAAUAUUAUUUAUGGAAUGAGUCAAUAAUUAUUUUUAGAUCUCUGUUCUAAUAAUUUAUUAAAAUCACAACAAUAAAAUAGUAAUAUCUGUAGAGAAUCGAAGCUGGAUUUGAGAUGUCGCGUUAUAAUUUAUGUAAAUUUCAAAAUAAAUUAACUGGUUCUGAAUAUAAGAUGAGAAAACUAUAAUCAAAUUAAAUAAUGAUAAAUUCAAAUAAAAAUAAUGAUAUGGUAAAUAAUAAAGUGUUCAUUUUUAUGCAAUCUAAAAAAAAAAGACAUUUUUGCAUAAAAAAUCUACUUAUUUUAGACUUUUGCAAAAUCGGAUCACCUUUUUUGUUUUUACAGAUACGGUCCGUUUUUUCAGCAAACUGACCAAAAUACCCUUAUUACUUUUUCUCUUUCCUCUUUCUCUCUCCUCUUCGUUUCUGUCGUUCUUUUUUUUUUCUCGCCGAAAAAAAAGAGGCGGAUCGUCGCCUUCUUUUUCACCGUCGCCUCCCUCCUCACCCUCCUCUCCACCGCUCGCGACCCCCUCCUCCUCUCCCCCGCCGCCGCGGACCCCCAGCCCAAUCCCGUCGCCGCGGCAGCAGCGGCCGCGGCGAACGGGGUCGGGCUGGAUGCGGAGAAAAAGACGACGGCGAAGAAGAAGAAGGGGAGGCCGAGCGGCAGGGCGCAGGAGGGGGAGGCGGAAGCACAGUCGGCACCGGCCCCGCGGACCCCCAGCCCGAUCCCGUCGCCGUAGCGGCAACGGCAGCGGCCGCGGCGAACGGGGUCGGGCUGGAUGCGGAGGCAGAGGCGGAGAAGAAGACAACGGCGAAGAAGAAGAAGGGGAGGCCGAGCAGUAGGGCGCAGGAGGGAGAGGCGGAGGCGCAGCCGGCGCCGGCGAGGAGUGGGGAACAUUACACCAUUACACCAUUACACCAUUAUACCAUUUUGCACCAUUACACCAUUACACCAUUUGCACCAUUACACCAUUACACCAUUUGCACCAUUAUAAUUUUGCACCAUUACACCAUUACACCAUUUGCACCAUUACACCAUUACAAUUUUGCACCAUUACACCAUUAUACUAUUUGCACCAUUACACCGUUACACCACCAUUACACCAUAUGCACCAUUACACCAUUCGCUGGUCGGCGGCUUCUGCGCGGCGGCGGGAGGAGGGACGGCGCCGACGGAGAAGAACACGCGCGGCGUCGGCACCGGCGCCGGCUGCGCCUCCGCCUCCCCCUCUCGCACCCUGCCGCUCGGCCUCCCCUUCUUCUUCUUCUUCGCCGUGGUCUUCUUCUCCGCCUCGGCCUCCGCAUCCAGUUUAGGCCUUCUUCUUCGCCGUCGUCUUUUUCUCCGCCUCGCCGUCGUCGGGCUGCAUGUACAAGACGGCCAACUCGGUGUACCGGCCGGACUCGCCGGAGUCGCGCUUCACCAACUCGUCGAACGAGGGGCGCGAUCGGGACAUGAUCAGCCUGUCGACGGCGCCGUCCGACGACGAGUAGUACGACGGCGAGUCGUCGGAGAGCGUGAUACGCGGCAUCAAGUCGUCGGCGCACGUCGACCGCCUCUUCUUUGAGCCCCCUGGUGCCGACACGGGCUCCAUACUCGGCGACGCGGCGCCGAAGAAGGCGGAAGACGACGACGACGACAGCGCCAAUAGCGAUGGCGACGGCGGGGCGAUGCCGUUCAAAGAGAGCGUGGUGGUGGCCAUGGAGUCGCGCGACCCCCUCCCCUCCCCCUCGCUCUCCUCCACCUUCGCCGUCGCCGCCAUGGCCAUGGGCUCGGCGACGGCGACGGAGACGACGGUGGGGGUAGGCUCGGCGGCGGCGACGGGGGAGAGGAGGAGGGGGUCACGGGCAGUGAAGAGGAGGGUGAGGAGGGAGGCGACGGUGAAGAAGGAGGGUGAGGAGGGAGGCGUCGGUGAAAAAGAAGGCGACGGUCCGGCCCGCCUCUUUUUUUUUCGACGAGAAAAAAAAAAAGAACGAUAGAAACGAAGAGGAGAGAGAAAAAGAAAAGAGAAAAAGUAAUAAGGGUAUUUUGGUCAAUUUGCUGAAAAAGCGGACCGAAUCUGCAAAAACGAAAAAUGUGAUCCGAUUUUGCAAAAGCCCAAAAUAAGUGAAAUUUUUACGCAAAAGGGCCAAAAAAAAAAAAAAAACUACUAAUUUCCAAUUUCGACAAAAAAAAAUAAAUAAUAAUAAUAGUAAUAAUAAUAAUAAUAUCGGGAAAAAAAAUCUCGCCGGGAAAAGCGGGGCGCGUCCUUACAGUUAGCUCCUCCAAUUCCGGUCCCGCCUACUAAUCACCUCGCGCCACGUGUACGGCUACCAUUCCUCCGUGCCACCGCCGAGCGCGUUGGUCGGCGACAGCUAUCCUCCUCUUUGGGGCCCACGCGCUUCGACCGUUACGUACGGCCGUAGGGCCUAGGAUUCCCCCCAAACCCUAUAUGGCUAUAUAUACACACACACACAC
rnacentral:lncRNA from 1 species